AGUGAACGCUGGCGGUAGGCCUAACACAUGCAAGUCGAACGGCAGCACAGUAAGAGCUUGCUCUUACGGGUGGCGAGUGGCGGACGGGUGAGGAAUACAUCGGAAUCUACUUUUUCGUGGGGGAUAACGGAGGGAAACUUACGCUAAUACCGCAUACGACCUACGGGUGAAAGCAGGAGAUCUUCGCACCUUUCGCGUCUGAUUGAGCCGAUGUCGGAUUAGCUAGUUGGCGUGGUAAAGGCCCACCAAGGCGACGAUCCGUAGCUGGCCUGAGAGGAUGAUCGGCCACACUGGAACUGAGACACGGUCCAGACUCCUACGGGAGGCAGCAGUGGGGAAUCUUGGACAAUGGGCGAAAGCCUGAUCCAGCCAUACCGCGUGGGUGAAGAAGGCCUUCGGGUUGUAAAGCCCUUUUGUUGGGAAAGAAAAGCAGCAGGUUAAUACCCCGCUGUUCUGACGGUACCCAAAGAAUAAGCAACGGCUAACUUCGUG
rnacentral:rRNA from 1 species